UUGGAGGGCAAGUCUGGUGCCAGCAGCCGCGGUAAUUCCAGCUCCAAUAGCGUAUAUUAAAGUUGUUGCAGUUAAAAAGCUCGUAGUUGAAUUUCGGGGUCAGUAGGUUGGUCGUGCCUAUGGUAUGUACUGGCUUUACUGAUUCCUCCUUCUUGAAGAACUGUAAUGUCAUUAAUUUGGUGUUGCAGGGAAACAGGACUGUUACUUUGAAAAAAUUAGAGUGUUUAAAGCAGGCUAACGCUUGAAUACAUUAGCAGGGAAUAGUGAAAUAGGACGUUCGAUCCUAUUUUGUUGGUUUCUAGGAUUGACGUAAUGAUUAAUAGGGAUAGUUGGGGGCAUUAGUAUUCAAUUGUCAGAGGUGGAAUUCUUGGAUUUAUUGAAGACUAACUACUGCGAAAGCAUUUGCCAAGGAUGUUUUCAUUAAUCAAGAACGAAAGUUAGGGGAUCGAAGACGAUCAGAUACCGUCGUAGUCUUAACCAUAAACUAUGCCGACUAGGGAUCGGAUGAUGUUAAUUUUUUAAUGACUCAUUCGGCGCCUUACGGGAAAC
rnacentral:rRNA from 1 species